rnacentral:rRNA from 1 species
AUUGAACGCUGGCGGCAGGCCUAACACAUGCAAGUCGAACGGUAGCACAGAGAGCUUGCUCUCGGGUGACGAGUGGCGGACGGGUGAGUAACGUCUGGGAAACUGCCCGAUGGAGGGGGAUAACUACUGGAAACGGUAGCUAAUACCGCAUAACGUCGCAAGACCAAAGUGGGGGACCUUCGGGCCUCACACCAUCGGAUGUGCCCAGAUGGGAUUAGCUAGUAGGUGGGGUAAUGGCUCACCUAGGCGACGAUCCCUAGCUGGUCUGAGAGGAUGACCAGCCACACUGGAACUGAGACACGGUCCAGAAUCCUACGGGAGGCAGCAGUGGGGAAUAUUGCGCAAUGGGCGCAAGCCUGAUGCAGCCAUGCCGCGUGUAUGAAGAAGGCCUUCGGGUUGUAAAGUACUUUCAGCGGGGAGGAAGGCGGUGAAGUUAACAGCUUCACCGAUUGACGUUACCCGCAGAAGAAGCACCGGCUAACUCCGUGCCAGCAGCCGCCGUAA